GUACAGAACAUAUACUGAUCUAAUUCGUAUGUACUUGACCGAAGCAAAGUUCCGGAUGAAGAAAUGACUAUUUUAAAUCGUUUGUAUUUCGUUUGAAGAGUUAUGAAGUGCAUUUGAAAAGAUUCCAGGCGCUACUGGUCCUGAAGUACCAGAAGGCGCGUUCGGUGUAAUCUCUAGUAUUUCGAUACUCCUGGUUCUUUCUUGACAGUAAGGAUAAACAAUGUGCAGUAAGUCACA
rnacentral:lncRNA from 13 species